AGAGUUUGAUCCUGGCUCAGAUUGAACGCUGGCGGCAUGCUUUACACAUGCAAGUCGGACGGCAGCACAGAGAAGCUUGCUUCUUGGGUGGCGAGUGGCGAACGGGUGAGUAAUAUAUCGGAACGUACCGAGUAAUGGGGGAUAACUAAUCGAAAGAUUAGCUAAUACCGCAUAUUCUCUGAGGAGGAAAGCAGGGGACCUUCGGGCCUUGCGUUAUUCGAGCGGCCGAUAUCUGAUUAGCUAGUUGGUGGGGUAAAGGCCUACCAAGGCGACGAUCAGUAGCGGGUCUGAGAGGAUGAUCUGCCACACUGGGACUGAGACACGGCCCAGACUCCUACGGGAGGCAGCAGUGGGGAAUUUUGGACAAUGGGCGCAAGCCUGAUCCAGCCAUGCCGCGUGUCUGAAGAAGGCCUUCGGGUUGUAAAGGACUUUUGUCAGGGAAGAAAAGGGCGGGGUUAAUACCCCUGUCUGAUGACGGUACCUGAAGAAUAAGCACCGGCUAACUACGUGCCAGCAGCCGCGGUAAUACGUAGGGUGCGAGCGUUAAUCGGAAUUACUGGGCGUAAAGCGGGCGCAGACGGUUACUUAAGCAGGAUGUGAAAUCCCCGGGCUCAACCUGGGAACUGCGUUCUGAACUGGGUGACUAGAGUGUGUCAGAGGGAGGUAGAAUUCCACGUGUAGCAGUGAAAUGCGUAGAGAUGUGGAGGAAUACCGAUGGCGAAGGCAGCCUCCUGGGAUAACACUGACGUUCAUGCCCGAAAGCGUGGGUAGCAAACAGGAUUAGAUACCCUGGUAGUCCACGCCCUAAAC
rnacentral:rRNA from 1 species